rnacentral:rRNA from 1 species
UACGGAGGGUGCCAGCGUUAAUCGGAAUUACUGGGCGUAAAGCGUGCGCAGGCGGUCUUGCAAGACAGAUGUGAAAUCCCCGGGCUUAACCUGGGAACUGCAGUCGAGACUGUCUAGCUAGAGUAUGGGAGAGGGAAGUGGAAUUUCAGGUGUAGCGGUGAAAUGCGUAGAUAUCUGAAGGAACAUCAGUGGCGAAAGCGACUUCCUGGACCAAUACUGACGCUCAUGUGCGAAAGCGUGGGGAGCAAACAGG